GACGAACGCUGGCGGCGUGCCUAAUACAUGCAAGUCGAACGCAGUGGGGACGGGUGAGUAACACGUGGGUAACCUCCCAUCAGAGGGGAUAACACUUGGCAACAGGUGCUAAACCGAUACUGAUGGAUGGACCCGCGGUGCAUUAGCUAGUUGGUGAGGUAACGGCUCACCAAGGCCACGAUGCAUAGCCGGCCUGAGAGGGUGAUAGGACAAACAGGGACUGAGACACGGCCCAGGCUCCUACGGGAGGCAGCAGUAGGGAAUCUUGUGCCAUGGACGAAAGUCUGACCGAGCAACGCCGCGUGAGUGAAGAAGGGUUUCGGAUCGUAAAACUCUGUUGUUAAAGAAGCGGUAUAUAGCCAGAAAGCAACGGCUAACUACGUGCCAACCGCCGCGGUAAUAC
rnacentral:rRNA from 1 species